GUGGCCUAGUGGUUAGAGCGCCUGCCUAGGAUGUGGGAGGUUGUGGGUUUGAUCCCCCAUCAAGUCA